rnacentral:rRNA from 1 species
AUUGAACGCUGGCGGCAUGCUUUACACAUGCAAGUCGAACGGUAACAGGCCUUCGGGUGCUGACGAGUGGCGAACGGGUGAGUAAUGCAUCGGAACGUGCCCAAUCGUGGGGGGAUAACGUAGCGAAAGUUACGCUAAUACCGCAUAAGCCCUGAGGGGGAAAUGGGGGACCGCAAGGGCCUCACGCGAAUGGAGCGGCCGAUGUCAGAUUAGCUAGUUGGUGGGGUAAAAGGCCCACCAAGGCGACGAUCUGUAGCGGGUCUGAGAGGAUGAUCCGCCACACUGGGACUGAGACACGGCCCAGACUCCUACGGGAGGCAGCAGUGGGGAAUUUUGGGACAAUGGGCGCAAGCCUGAUCCAGCCAUGCCGCGUGCGGG